rnacentral:rRNA from 1 species
CAGUCGCCGCGGGAAUACGAAGGGUGCAAGCGUUACUCGGAAUUACUGGGCGUAAAGCGUGCGUAGGUGGUGGUUUAAGUCCGUUGUGAAAGCCCUGGGCUCAACCUGGGAAUUGCAGUGGAUACUGGGUCACUAGAGUGUGGUAGAGGAUAGUGGAAUUUCCGGUGUAGCAGUGAAAUGCGUAGAGAUCGGAAGGAACAUCUGUGGCGAAGGCGACUAUCUGGGCCAACACUGACACUCAUGCACGAAAGCGUGGGGAGCAAACAGGAUAAGAUACCCCCGUAGUCCCUGUCUCUUAUAC